GAAAUCAGCAGGGGGAGGGAAUAUGUCAUGAUCACAAAGGUGGUUUCUCCGGGGUGAGGCUUAUCUAUUGCACUUUGGCUGUGCUGACCCUGCAAUUUCCCCAAAUAUGGGAAAUUUGGUUGCACAAUUUGUUGAAGAGGGGAACUGCAUUCAUGCUUUUUG
rnacentral:snRNA from 1 species